AUUGAACGCUGGCGGCAUGCCUUACACAUGCAAGUCGAACGGCAGCACGGGUGCUUGCACCUGGUGGCGAGUGGCGAACGGGUGAGUAAUAUAUCGGAACGUACCUUAUUGUGGGGGAUAACGCAGCGAAAGCUGUGCUAAUACCGCAUAAUCCCUUAGGGGGAAAGCGGGGGACCGUAAGGCCUCGCGCAAUUAGAGCGGCCGAUACCUGAUUAGCUAGUUGGUGAGGUAAAGGCUCACCAAGGCGACGAUCAGUAGCUGGUCUGAGAGGACGAUCAGCCACACUGGGACUGAGACACGGCCCAGACUCCUACGGGAGGCAGCAGUGGGGAAUUUUGGACAACGGGGGCAACCCUGAUCCAGCAAUGCCGCGUGAGUGAAGAAGGCCUUCGGGUUGUAAAGCUCUUUUGUCAGGGAAGAAACAGCAGCUCUAACACAGUAUGCGAAUGACGGUACCUGAAGAAUAAGCACCGGCUAACUACGUGCCAGCAGCCGCAGUAA
rnacentral:rRNA from 1 species